rnacentral:rRNA from 1 species
GACGUAGGUGGCGAACGUUAUCCGGAAUUAUUGGGCGUAAAGGGUGCGUAGGCGGCAUGAUAAGUUAUUGGCGGCAAAUCGAGGCUCAACCUCGUGGAAACUGAUAAUACUGUCUUGCUUGAGUGCAGAAGAGGUUAACGGAACUCCAUGUAGAGCGGUAAAAUGUGUAGAUAUAUGGAAGAACAUCAAUAACGGCGAAGGCAGUUAACUAUUCUGUUACUGACGUUGAGGCACGAAAGCGUGGGGAGCAAAAAGG